UGUGCAGGCUUCCCUUCAGAUCUCCAC
rnacentral:piRNA from 1 species